UCUAGAACUCGAGAUAUGGGCUGAACACUGAACAUUGUCUGGGCUGGAUGACAGAUUCCAACAUCUCUUUUGUUGCUACAAUUUGAGCUUUGAAACGGCUGUUUUGAAUAUUGAACUCCUCAUGAAAGUUUUAGGUCUAUGUCUUAGCUUUUCAUC
rfam:Populus trichocarpa scaffold_17_contig_227, whole genome shotgun sequence.